AAUUUCCACCUGCUGCUUUGGUUUGGUUCUCAGGGUGUUCUGCUACUCGGUCUUGGCUGGGUUUCCAUGAAUACUAGCCAGCGUCACAUCUCUGUCCUGACCACCCCAUCCCCACAGUGGGCUGGCAUGCUUGGCUCAACCCCAGGCCUGUGCGCACUUGGCUGCUGGUCAAACUUGGACCUCCAGAGCCCUGACCUUUGGUCCUUGCUCCCCUGGGCCUGCGUGCAGCGGGAUCUUCCAGAGCUGUCGCUGUAAGGACAGUGAGGACCGAGUGACAGAAGCCACUGACGCCAUCAAUGCCAGGGGUCACUGCCAGAGGGUCUCAAAGCCUUCUCCAGAAAGCAGCGGAUACCUCCCAAAUUCCCACUACCUUGUUCUCUUCUGGGUUGGAACCUGGGCACCACCUCCUGCUGGCUGUGUGAUCCCUAGCAGCACCGAGAGCCUCACCGGUCGGGUUGGUACUGCCAGUCGCAGGGGCCUGCAGGCUGGUGUGAGGUCUGAGAUGGGGCUCCAGCCCUGUGGCAUCCAGCUGUUCUGCCUCCAUCCUUAUUCCUUAUGGGGCGAUUUCUCCGAGUGGCAGGGUUGGCCACGAGGAGCGGCAGAUGAAGCAGAAACAGCUCUGGUGUGCGCUGCCCAGGGGCUGGCCACGAGCCGUGUGUGGUACCUUAUGGAGCAUUUCCUCCAUCAUGGAAAGUUCUAGCAGUAGUGGUGCUGUAGAUUUCUGUCCAGCUUCACUCCACAAGCUGGGUGCUGCAGAGGGUCACUGAGGAGACUAAGAAAGGGUCCAGUCCCCAAAGAACUCAUUCACUUGCUCAUCAUGCAUUAAUCAAGGACCUUCUAGGUGCCAAGAGGAUGUUGCGAUAACCAAGACGGACUUGUUCUCUGCCUUCACAGAGCUUCCUGUUCCGCGGGUAGAGAAAUGUCUGCCGUAACAGAGACCCAAAGUAAUACUAGC
rnacentral:lncRNA from 1 species